AGCUCGAGUCUCAGGAUGGCGCGCCCCAGGAAACGAGCCCCCAGAUGAAAGACCCCUGAAGAGAGACCCUUACUCAAGUCUUGGGAAAUCACGGACCCCAGAAACAGAGAGACCA
rnacentral:pre_miRNA from 14 species